AGUGAACGCUGGCGGUAGGCCUAACACAUGCAAGUCGAACGGCAGCACAGUAAGAGCUUGCUCUUACGGGUGGCGAGUGGCGGACGGGUGAGGAAUACAUCGGAAUCUACUUUUUCGUGGGGGAUAACGUAGGGAAACUUACGCUAAUACCGCAUACGACCUACGGGUGAAAGCAGGGGAUCUUCGGACCUUGCGCGAUUGAAUGAGCCGAUGUCGGAUUAGCUAGUUGGCGGGGUAAAGGCCCACCAAGGCGACGAUCCGUAGCUGGUCUGAGAGGAUGAUGCGCCACACUGGAACUGAGACACGGUCCAGACUCCUACGGGAGGCAGCAGUGGGGAAUAUUGGACAAUGGGCGCAAGCCUGAUCCAGCCAUACCGCGUGGGUGAAGAAGGCCUUCGGGUUGUAAAGCCCUUUUGUUGGGAAAGAAAAGCAGCAGGUUAAUACCCCGCUGUCCUGACGGUACCCAAAGAAUAAGCACCGGCUAACUUCGUG
rnacentral:rRNA from 1 species